CUCUAUUCAAUGGUUUUCACAGAUCAAGAUAUGAAGAGAUAAAGAAAAUAGAUCGGUUUAAAAAAUUUAUAGGACGUAACAUUACGUUGAAAACAAUCAUUGUAAGUUUUUGCAGCAGAAUAAAAAUCAAGAGAAAUACAUAUCAAAAGUUUUAUACACUUGCUGUUCAAGAAUCUGUCAGUUGGAAUAGAGAAUUACUAAAAGAUAUCCAGUAGUUUUAGUGGAUGGGAUAUAUA